rnacentral:sRNA from 1 species
AUUCCUGGACUCCGCCCCUGCUCCCCUCCAAGGGCGACAGUUCCGCCCCCCGGACCAGAACAGUGGGUGCUGUGAGCAUAAAACACUGGAGGCGGCACUGUCCCGGACCCGGCUCCGCGCAGGCAGGGGCACUGUGGAAGGCCAUGCAGUGCCUGGGGAUCCGGAUCCGGAGCCGCUCCAGGGAGCUCUACCUACAGGAGCAGAGCCUUAAGGUGGCGGCGCUCAAUGGACGGAGGCUGGGUAAGGGGCGCAGAGCACUCCGAGAUCUGCGGGGAAUGGGAAGGCAGCUGGAGCAGGACGCCGACCACUUGUCCCUUAACUCGGGGCCAUUUGCCUUGGAGCCUUUAACUGGACAUGUUUAGUACUUCUGUGAGUGUGUGGCCCACUGUGGGGCAGUGUUUGCAGUGGUAGCACGUCGGAGCCUACAGGAUGAUGAGGAUCUACAGGCGCUGCUGAAGGGCAGCCAGCUCCUGAAGGUGAAGUCCAGCUCAUGGAGGAGAGAGCGCUUCUACAAGUUGCAGGAGGACUGCAAGACCAUCUGGCA